AACAAGGAUUCCCCUAGUAACUGCGAGUGAAGCGGGAAAAGCUCAAAUUUAAAAUCUGGCGGUCCUUGGCCGUCCGAGUUGUAAUCUAGAGAAGUGUUACCCGCGCUGGACCGUGUACAAGUCUCCUGGAAUGGAGCGUCAUAGAGGGUGAGAAUCCCGUCUCUGACACGGACUACCAGGGCUUUGUGGUAUGCUCUCAAAGAGUCGAGUUGUUUGGGAAUGCAGCUCAAAAUGGGUGGUAAAUUCCAUCUAAAGCUAAAUAUUGGCGAGAGACCGAUAGCGAACAAGUACCGUGAGGGAAAGAUGAAAAGAACUUUGGAAAGAGAGUUAAACAGUACGUGAAAUUGCUGAAAGGGAAACGCUUGAAGUCAGUCACGUUGGCUGGGGAUCAGCCUUGCUUUUGCAUGGUGUACUUUCUGGUUGACGGGUCAGCAUCAAUUUUGACCGCUGGAAAAAGGCUUGGGGAAUGUGGCAGCUCCGGCUGUGUUAUAGCCCCUUGUCAUAUACAGCGGUUGGGAUUGAGGAACUCAGCACGCCGCAAGGCCGGGGUCAAACCACGUUCGUGCUUAGGAUGCUGGCAUAAUGGCUUUAAGCGACCCGUCUUGAAACACGGACCAAGGAGUCUAACAUGCCUGCGAGUGUUUGGGUGGAAAACCCGAGCGCGUAAUGAAAGUGAAAGUUGAGAUCCCUGUCGUGGGGAGCAUCGACGCCCGGACCAGAACUUUUGGGACGGAUCCGCGGUAGAGCAUGUAUGUUGGGACCCGAAAGAUGGUGAACUAUGCCUGAAUAGGGUGAAGCCAGAGGAAACUCUGGUGGAGGCUCGUAGCGAUUCUGACGUGCAAAUCGAUCGUCAAAUUUGGGUAUAGGGGCGAAAGACUAAUCGAACC
rnacentral:rRNA from 1 species